GAUGAACGCUGGCGGCGUGUCUAAUACAUGCAAGUCGAGCGAACGGACGAGAAGCUUGCUUCUCUGAUGUUAGCGGCGGACGGGUGAGUAACACGUGGAUAACCUACCUAUAAGACUGGGAUAACUUCGGGAAACCGGAGCUAAUACCGGAUAAUAUUUUGAACCGCAUGGUUCAAAAGUGAAAGACGGUCUUGCUGUCACUUAUAGAUGGAUCCGCGCUGCAUUAGCUAGUUGGUAAGGUAACGGCUUACCAAGGCAACGAUGCAUAGCCGACCUGAGAGGGUGAUCGGCCACACUGGAACUGAGACACGGUCCAGACUCCUACGGGAGGCAGCAGUAGGGAAUCUUCCGCAAUGGGCGAAAGCCUGACGGAGCAACGCCGCGUGAGUGAUGAAGGUCUUCGGAUCGUAAAACUCUGUUAUUAGGGAAGAACGUAUGUGUAAGUAACUGUGCACAUCUUGACGGUACCUAAUCAGAAAGCCACGGCUAACUACGUGCCAGCAGCCGCGGUAAUACGUAGGUGGCAAGCGUUAUCCGGAAUUAUUGGGCGUAAAGCGCGCGUAGGCGGUUUUUUAAGUCUGAUGUGAAAGCCCACGGCUCAACCGUGGAGGGUCAUUGGAAACUGGAAAACUUGAGUGCAGAAGAGGAAAGUGGAAUUCCAUGUGUAGCGGUGAAAUGCGCAGAGAUAUGGAGGAACACCAGUGGCGAAGGCGACUUUCUGGUCAGUAACUGACGCUGAUGUGCGAAAGCGUGGGGAUCAAACAGGAUUAGAUACCCUGGUAGUCCACGCCGUAAACGAUGAGUGCUAAGUGUUAGGGGGUUUCCGCCCCUUAGUGCUGCAGCUAACGCAUUAAGCACUCCGCCUGGGGAGUACGACCGCAAGGUUGAAACUCAAAGGAAUUGACGGGGACCCGCACAAGCGGUGGAGCAUGUGGUUUAAUUCGAAGCAACGCGAAGAACCUUACCAAAUCUUGACAUCCUUUGACAACUCUAGAGAUAGAGCUUUCCCCUUCGGGGGACAAAGUGACAGGUGGUGCAUGGUUGUCGUCAGCUCGUGUCGUGAGAUGUUGGGUUAAGUCCCGCAACGAGCGCAACCCUUAAGCUUAGUUGUCAUCAUUAAGUUGGGCACUCUAAGUUGACUGCCGGUGACAAACCGGAGGAAGGUGGGGAUGACGUCAAAUCAUCAUGCCCCUUAUGAUUUGGGCUACACACGUGCUACAAUGGACAAUACAAAGGGCAGCGAAACCGCGAGGUCAAGCAAAUCCCAUAAAGUUGUUCUCAGUUCGGAUUGUAGUCUGCAACUCGACUACAUGAAGCUGGAAUCGCUAGUAAUCGUAGAUCAGCAUGCUACGGUGAAUACGUUCCCGGGUCU
rnacentral:rRNA from 1 species